UUAGCUUCUCCAUUUUUAAUGUCUCGGGCGGUAGCACGGGCAAAAGACCUAGUAAAAAUCUAACAAGACACACUAAUGAAAUUAAGCGAGUAGUUAAAUAAAUAAUGUAGAAGUGAAUAAGGAGAAAAAUCCAUAUACAUGUGGCUCAUAGUAGCGUUUGUCCGUGACUUAAUAUCAACGUCACCCAGAUCAUAAAUGCGAAAGGAAAAAAAUGUAGGCAACAGAAGAGAAAUGGAAAUAUUGAGA
rnacentral:lncRNA from 1 species